GUGUCAGCAGCCGCGGUAAUACGGAGGGUGCAAGCGUUAUCCGGAUUUACUGGGUUUAAAGGGUGCGCAGGCGGAUAUGUAAGUCAGUGGUGAAAUCUCCGGGCUUAACCCGGAAACUGCCGUUGAUACUAUAUAUCUUGAAUGCUGUGGAGGUAAGCAGAAUAUGUCAUGUAGCGGUGAAAUGCUUAGAGAUGACAUAGAAUACCUAUUGCGAAGGCAGCUUACUACGCAGAUAUUGACGCUCAUGCACGAAAGCGUGGGGAUCAAACAGGAUUAGAUACCCCCGUAGUCC
rnacentral:rRNA from 1 species